rnacentral:rRNA from 1 species
UAUGACCAUACUACCCUGAACAUGUCUGAUCUCAUCUGAUUCAGAAGCUAAGCAGGGUUGGGCCUGAUUGGUACUGGGNAGUUUCUACAGGUGAUACAUAA